rnacentral:rRNA from 1 species
GGUUGCGAUCAGACCAGCACUAAUGCGCCGGAUCCCAUCAGAACUCCGCAGUUAAGCGUGCUUGGGCGAGAGUAGUACUAGGAUGGGUGACCCCCUGGGAAGUCCUCGUGUUGCAACCC